rnacentral:piRNA from 1 species
GGGCUGGAUAGAUGGCUCAGAGGUU